rnacentral:rRNA from 1 species
GAUGAACGCUGGCGGCGUGCCUAAUACAUGCAAGUCGAGCGAACAGACGAGGAGCUUGCUCCUCUGACGUUAGCGGCGGACGGGUGAGUAACACGUGGAUAACCUACCUAUAAGACUGGGAUAACUUCGGGAAACCGGAGCUAAUACCGGAUAAUAUAUUGAACCGCAUGGUUCAAUAGUGAAAGACGGUUUUGCUGUCACUUAUAGAUGGAUCCGCGCCGCAUUAGCUAGUUGGUAAGGUAACGGCUUACCAAGGCGACGAUGCGUAGCCGACCUGAGAGGGUGAUCGGCCACACUGGAACUGAGACACGGUCCAGACUCCUACGGGAGGCAGCAGUAGGGAAUCUUCCGAAAUGGGCGAAAGCCUGACGGAGCAACGCCGCGUGAGUGAUGAAGGUCUUCGGAUCGUAAAACUCUGUUAUUAGGGAAGAACAAAUGUGUAAGUAACUGUGCACGUCUUGACGGUACCUAAUCAGAAAGCCACGGCUAACUACGUG